rnacentral:rRNA from 1 species
ACGGAGGGAGCUAGCGUUGUUCGGAAUUACUGGGCGUAAAGCGAACGUAGGCGGCUAUCCAAGUCAGGGGUGAAAUCCCGGGGCUCAACCCCGGAACUGCCCUUGAAACUAGGUAGCUAGAAUCCUGGAGAGGUUAGUGGAAUUCCGAGUGUAGAGGUGAAAUUCGUAGAUAUUCGGAAGAACACCAGUGGCGAAGGCGACUGACUGGACAGGUAUUGACGCUGAGGUUCGAAAGCGUGGGGAGCAAACAGG